rnacentral:rRNA from 1 species
UACGUAGGGUAGCAAGCGUUGUCCGGAUUAUUGGGCGUAAAGAGCUCGUAGGCGGUCUGUUGCGUCGGCUGUGAAAACCCGGGGCUCAACUCCGGGCCUGCAGCCGAUACGGGCAGACUAGAGUUCGGCAGGGGAGACUGGAAUUCCUGGUGUAGCGGUGAAAUGCGCAGAUAUCAGGAAGAACACCCGUGGCUAAGGCGGCUCUCUGGGCCGAUACUGACGCUGAGGAGCGAAAGCGUGGGGAGCGAACAGG